UAGGUUUGUCCUAAGUCGAACUUCCUUAAGUUUGACCAAGUAUAUAGGAAAAGUUACUAAUAACCACAUCAUCAACUAUUUGUAGUCCGACAAUAUACUUUAUCAUGAAUGUAAUGGAACUAAUUAAUUUGGUGUUGUAGAUAUUGGUAUAUUUUUCUAUGGACUUGGUUAAACCUAGAGAAGUUUGAAUUAGGAUAAAUCAAG
rnacentral:pre_miRNA from 1 species